rnacentral:rRNA from 1 species
AUGAACGCUGGCGGCGUGCCUCAUCCAUGCAAGUCGCGCGAACAGACGAGGAGCUUGCUCCUCUGACGUUAGCGGCGGACGGGUGAGUAACACGUGGAUAACCUACCUAUAAGACUGGGAUAACUUCGGGAAACCGGAGCUAAUACCGGAUAAUAUAUUGAACCGCAUGGUUCAAUAGUGAAAGACGGUUUUGCUGUCACUUAUAGAUGGAUCCGCGCCGCAUUAGCUAGUUGGUAAGGUAACGGCUUACCAAGGCAACGAUGCGUAGCCGACCUGAGAGGGUGAUCGGCCACACUGGAACUGAGACACGGUCCAGACUCCUACGGGAGGCAGCAGUAGGGAAUCUUCCGCAAUGGGCGAAAGCCUGACGGAGCAACGCCGCGUGAGUGAUGAAGGUCUUCGGAUCGUAAAACUCUGUUAUUAGGGAAGAACAAAUGUGUAAGUAACUAUGCACGUCUUGACGGUACCUAAUCAGAAAGCCACGGCUAACUACGUG